rnacentral:rRNA from 1 species
UACGUAGGGGGCAAGCAUUGUCCGGAAUCAUUGGGCGUAAAGAGCGCGUAGGCGGCCCUGUAAGUCCGCUGUGAAAGUCAAGGGCUCAACCCUUGGAUGCCGGUGGAUACUGCAGGGCUAGAGUCCGGAAGAGGCGAGUGGAAUUCCUGGUGUAGCGGUGAAAUGCGCAGAUAUCAGGAAGAACACCCGUGGCGAAGGCGGCUCGCUGGGACGUAACUGACGCUGAGACGCGAAAGCGUGGGGGAGCAAACAGG